AAAGACUUGACGGUACUUCACAACAACCUAGAGGAGCCUGUCUAAUAACCGAUACCCCACGAUUAACCCUACCCCCCCUAGCCAAAGCAGUCUAUAUACCGCCGUCGCCAGCUUACCUUGUGAAAGNAACAAAGUGAGCCCAACAGGCACCCCUAAUACGACAGGUCGAGGUGUAACUAAUGGGGGGGUUAAGAUGGGCUACAUUUUCUUACCAGAAAAUACAAAUAGACUAUGAAACUAGAAAUUGAAGGCGGAUUUAGCAGUAUGUUNNNAACAUAAUACCUA
rnacentral:rRNA from 1 species